UACAGAGGCCUCAAGCGUUGUUCGGAUUCAUUGGGCGUAAAGGGUGUGUAGGUGGUGCGGUAAGUCAGGUGUGAAAUCCCGGGGCUCAACCCCGGAACUGCACUUGAUACUGCCGUGCUCGAGGACUGGAGAGGAGAUCGGAAUUCAUGGUGUAGCAGUGAAAUGCGUAGAUAUCAUGAGGAAGACCAGUGGCGAAGGCGGAUCUCUGGACAGUUCCUGACACUGAGACACGAAGGCCAGGGGAGCAAACGGG
rnacentral:rRNA from 1 species